GUAUGAUUGCUCAUAGUGAGACUGCUAAAGUUUGACUGACAUAUAAACAUGGAUCUCAAUGAGUCUUUGUAUUGGAUGUUGGUGACAGUUGAUCCACUGAGGAGUAGGAUAUGCAUCAAGAUGGGAUCUGUUGACUUUGAUAGAGAGGAGUAGUCCUAUAAAAUUUGAGAUGCUAAGUUCGAGAGUCUGUGACAACAGUA
rnacentral:lncRNA from 1 species